rnacentral:rRNA from 1 species
CCUACGGGUGGCAGCAGUGGGGAAUAUUGCGCAAUGGGCGAAAGCCUGACGCAGCGACGCCGCGUGAGGGAUGAAGGUCUACGGAUCGUUAACCUCUGUCAGCAGGGAAGCACGGUCACUGUGCUAAUCAGCAGUGAAUUGACGGUACCUGCAAAGGAAGCACCGGCUAACUCCGUGCCAGCAGCCGCGGUAAUACGGAGGGUGCGAGCGUUAAUCGGAAUUACUGGGCGUAAAGCGCUCGUAGGCGGUAUGUCAAGUCAAGGGUGAAAUCCCCGCGCUCAACGUGGGAACUGCCUUUGAAACUGGCAAACUGGAGUGGGUGAGAGGAUAGUGGAAGUCCAGGUGUAGGAGUGAAAUCCGUAGAUAUCUGGAGGAACAUCAGUGGCGAAGGCGACUAUCUGGCACAUAACUGACGCUGAGGAGCGAAAGCGUGGGUAGCAAACAGGAUUAGAUACCCGAGUAGUC